rnacentral:rRNA from 1 species
UACGUAGGGGCAAGCGUUGUCCGGAAUCAUUGGGCGUAAAGCGCGUGUAGGCGGCUGAGUAAGUCUGCUCUGAAAGCCCGGGGCUCAACCCCGGGAGGCGGGUGGAUACUGCUCAGCUCGAGUCCGGAAGAGGAGUGUGGAAUUCCUGGUGUAGCGGUGAAAUGCGCAGAUAUCAGGAGGACACCAAUGGCGAAGGCAGCACUCUGGGACGGUACUGACGCUGAGACGCGAAAGCGUGGGGAGCAAACAGG